rnacentral:misc_RNA from 1 species
GCCGACUCGUAAUUGAAUUUCCGAUUCACUUCCUAUAUUUUGCGCAAAUGACGGUGUCUGCAUUAACCUAUUUGGAAAGCGUGAAAAUUACGCGGGGGGCAUAACGGCGUUUUUAAUGAACAAAAAGAAAGUAACGCCAAAGUCUCGGUUUCACAUCAUUUUACAAAGGAUCAUCGGCCAAUUUCUAUCGAUUGAUACAUAAUCGUGCGAAAAUCUACGAUUUCCUUUUUCCAACAAUAUACAAAUUCUCUGCUUCAAAACCUGUAGUUUUUUUUUUGGAAGAUUUUUUUAAAAUGGCUAUGGCUGGAUUGUACCGUCGAUGCCUUCCUUCUCCUCCGGCUAUCGAUUUCGCUUCCUCUGAAGGAAAGCAACUUUUUGUUGAAGCCAUUCAAAAUGGAACAAUGGAAGGUUUCUAUAGGUUGAUUUCUUAUUUUCAGACGCAAUCAGAGCCUGCUUAUUGUGGUUUGGCUAGCCUUUCUGUGGUCUUGAAUUCCCUUGCCAUUGAUCCUGGAAGAAAAUGGAAAGGACCUUGGAGGUGGUUUGAUGAAUCCAUGUUAGAUUGCUGUGAACCGUUGGAGAAAGUUAAAGCUAAGGGCAUCUCAUUUGGGAAGCUUGUAUGUUUGGGUCAUUGUGCUGGGGCAAAAGUUGAAGCAUACCGUACAAAUCAGAGCAACAUUGAUGAAUUUCGUAAGCAUGUAAUUAGAUGUUCCACUUCUGAUGAUUGCCAUAUGAUAUCGUCAUAUCAUAGAGGAGCUUUUAAACAGACAGGAACUGGUCAUUUUUCACCUAUUGGUGGUUAUCAUGCUGGAAGGGACAUGGCAUUGAUUUUGGACGUUGCACGUUUCAAGUAUCCUCCACAUUGGGUUCCACUAACACUUCUGUGGGAAGCUAUGAAUAAUCUUGAUGAGACAACUGGGCAAAACAAAGGGUUCAUUUUAAAUCGAGGUCUCAUCCAGAAUCUGGACUGCUUUAUAACUUGAAACUCUGAGAGCACUGCUAUUCAUGUUCGUAACAGACUAUGCUCGACUGUGUUGUGCCUUUCAUACUGUUGAUAUGUCUGAACUUUGAAGUGACAUACUGAUGCACUCUGUCAAGCAGUAACUUGACCAAAUAAGUGACCCUUUUGGCAGCCACUGCUCAUGCUGCCUCAAUUGUUAUGAAUAUCUGACAUUAUAGUGUUGUUCGCCGGCCCCCUCUUUUUCCCCUUUGCACUGUCUGUGAUUUGAAAAUUUUGGAGAUGGCUGAAAGAUUGAAUGAAUUAUAUUGUUUGUAAUGAAUAAUGAUGUCAUAUUACUUUUAUACUUUGCGCAGAGCUGUAAACAUGAGACUUGGGCUGCUAUUGCAAAGUAUUUAGUUGAUGAUAUCCCUAUUAUCUUAAAGUCAGAAGAUGUGAAAGACAUUCGUAAAUUGCUCUUAUGUUGUUUUCUCGUAUAAAUUGGGUUGCAGAAGUGCGGAGAAUCAAGGAUGGUGGGGGAAAGUCUAAGCCAAGAGGACAAAUGAAAGAUUGUUGUUAAGGAAGGGGUUUUAAAACAGGUACAGGAAACUGGACUUUUUAAACAUGUAGCAGGAUUUUUGUCUUCGGCAAACUCAUGUUGCAGAAGUGUGCCAAUUUUAAGUCUAGAAGAUGACCUUCCUCAUAUUGCUGCAAGUAUCUGUGCCAAGGGGCAGAGAUUUUGGCAGAAAAGUUCAGGUCUUCAGGACUUUAUUGUAGGGAAACUUGUGUGAGGUGUUUGAAGACCACUGAUGACAAGCCUGUUAGUACAGUUUUAGACAGUGGAAGUAAGCAGAGGCUGACGUGCUGUUCCUUCUCAAAUGUAAACUGAGUUGCUGUAGCUGUGGCCCAAGUAAUUGCAUUGGGAUUGAUCCAGCUAGAAAUGAUGUUCUUACAGCACUUCUACUGGUUUGCCUCCUGAAGCAUGGUCAGUUAUCGAAGUGGGGAAACUUUGCAAGAAAUAUAUACACUCUUGUUUCAACCCAGAAUCUUCCAGUUUUACUUCAAGAGCAAGUGUUGCAUCUAGACGUCAACUCUAGCUUCUUAAGAGAUGCCAAGGGAAUAAGGUGGAUGGGGAUCUCGGUGCACCUCUUUCCUGGUACGCAAGUAAUUUCCAUGUAAAUUCACUAUUUUUGUAAGCCAAGAGUUGCAUUAUUUGUGGAUAUGAGAAUCGUAUAAUUGAUGCAAAUACAAGAGAUUUGUACAGCCUUUUCUAGGUUAUAAGCCACUAAGCAAACCAAAUAUACCUUUAACAAAACUGAAAUAUAUUUGUGAAGAUGCCCGAUUUAUCUCCAAGUGACCAAAACCACAUGAUAAAGAAGAAGUAAGUGUUCUACCAAGAAUAAUGUAGCACUUUUAGGAAAGAUUUGAGGAUGAUCUUCAAG